rnacentral:rRNA from 1 species
AGUGAACGCUGGCGGUAGGCCUAACACAUGCAAGUCGAACGGCAGCACAGUAAGAGCUUGCUCUUACGGGUGGCGAGUGGCGGACGGGUGAGGAAUACAUCGGAAUCUACUUUUUCGUGGGGGAUAACGUAGGGAAACUUACGCUAAUACCGCAUACGACCUACGGGUGAAAGCAGGGGAUCUUCGGACCUUGCGCGAUUGAAUGAGCCGAUGUCGGAUUAGCUAGUUGGCGGGGUAAAGGCCCACCAAGGCGACGAUCCGUAGCUGGUCUGAGAGGAUGAGCAGCCACACUGGAACUGAGACACGGUCCAGAGUCCUACGGGAGGCAGCAGUGGGGAAUAUUGGACAAUGGGCGCAAGCCUGAUCCAGCCAUACCGCGUGGGUGAAGAAGGCCUUCGGGUUGUAAAGCCCUUUUGUUGGGAAAGAAAAGCAGCAGGUUAAUACCACGCUGUUCUGACGGUACCCAAAGAAUAAGCACCGGCUAACUUCGUG